GGGUCAGUAGGUUGGUCGUGCCACCGGUACGUACUGGUCUCACUGAUUCCUCCUUCCUGAAGAACCGUAAUGCCAUUAAUUUGGUGUUGCGGGGAAACAGGACUGUUACUUUGAAGAAAUUAGAGUGUUUAAAGCAAGCUAACGCUUGAAUACAUUAGCAUGGAAUAAUGAAAUAGGACGAUCGAUCCUAUUUUGUUGGUUUCUAGGAUUGACGUG
rnacentral:rRNA from 1 species